rnacentral:rRNA from 1 species
AGCGAACGCUGGCGGCAGGCCUAACACAUGCAAGUCGAACGAACCCUUCGGGGUUAGUGGCGGACGGGUGAGUAACACGUGGGAACGUGCCUUUAGGUUCGGAAUAACUCAGGGAAACUUGUGCUAAUACCGAAUGUGCCCUUCGGGGGAAAGAUUGAUCGCCUUUAGAGCGGCCCGCGUCGGAUUAGCUAGUUGGUGAGGUAAUGGCUCACCAAGGCUACGAUCAGUAGCUGGUCUGAGAGGAUGACCAGCCACAUUGGGACUGAGACACGGCCCAAACUCCUACGGGAGGCAGCAGUGGGGAAUCUUGCGCAAUGGGCGAAAGCCUGACGCAGCCAUGCCGCGUGGAUGAUGAAGGUCUUAGGAUUGUAAAAUCCUUUCACCGGUGAAGAUAAUGACUGUAGCCGGAGAAGAAGCCCCGGCUAACUUCGUGCCAGCCGCCGCAGUAACAC